rnacentral:rRNA from 1 species
ACGGGAGGCAGCAGUGGGGAAUCUUCCGCAAUGGGCGAAAGCCUGACGGAGCAACGCCGCGUGAGUGAUGACGGCCUUCGGGUUGUAAAACUCUGUGAUCCGGGACGAAAAGGCAGAGUGCGAAGAACAAACUGCAUUGACGGUACCGGAAAAGCAAGCCACGGCUAACUACGUGCCAGCAGCCGCGGUAAUACGUAGGUGGCAAGCGUUGUCCGGAAUUAUUGGGCGUAAAGCGCGCGCAGGCGGCUUCCCAAGUCCCUCUUAAAAGUGCGGGGCUUAACCCCGUGAUGGGAAGGAAACUGGGAAGCUGGAGUAUCGGAGAGGAAAGUGGAAUUCCUAGUGUAGCGGUGAAAUGCGUAGAGAUUAGGAAGAACACCGGUGGCGAAGGCGACUUUCUGGACGAAAACUGACGCUGAGGCGCGAAAGCGUGGGGAGCAAACAGGAUUAGAUACCCUGGUA